GUGUCAGCCGCCGCGGUAAGACGAACCGUGCGAACGUUAUUCGGAAUCACUGGGCUUAAAGGGCGCGUAGGCGGGUUGCCAAGUCUGUGGUGAAAUCCUCCGGCUCAACCGGAGAACGGCCGUGGAUACUGGCGACCUCGAGGGGGGUAGGGGCUUGCGGAACUGUGCGUGGAGCGGUGAAAUGCGUUGAUAUGCACAGGAACUCCGGUGGCGAAGGCGGCGAGCUGGACCCUUUCUGACGCUGAAGCGCGAAAGCCAGGGGAGCGAACGGGAUUAGAUACCCUCGUAGUCC
rnacentral:rRNA from 1 species